GAACAAUCCCAUCAGCCACCAGACUCAACAUCUGCACAUCACUCACCUCUGUCACACAUGUUCAGGAAGUGCUUAAAUCUGAAGCAGAACGCUGAACUUUAAAGAUUCUUCAAGUGUGUUUUUGUCAUAAUAAAUACUGAUGAUUAUUU